rnacentral:lncRNA from 1 species
CAGGGAGUGGGCCGGUAACCUACAGCACAGCACAGAGUUAACAGCAAAGUCUCAGGACUCUGAGUGAGACGGUGCCCAAGCCUGGCUCUGUCCCUUCACCAGCUGUCACCUUGGGCUAGUUACCUCCCCUCCAAGCCCUCACCUCCACCGAGACUUGAAUCCGAUAAUUUUUGCAAAGUGCUGGACACAGUGGCUUGUACCUAGUACUGCUCUACAAAGUCUAAUAGCUCUUGGUUUUUCUGCCCAGGACAUGCUGCAGCCCUGCGGCACACAGAAUGCAGGGAGCAAGUGUGUGCGGAUGACGGGGUUCUCAGCUUAAAGAAGCAUUGGGAAGACAAGACUCACACAGCGGUGAUGGAGAAAAGAUGUGGACUCAGCCUCACUGAAAAUAAACAGAACAGACCCUGGAUUCCUCCUGGGGGCCCACCGCAAUGCGCCAUAGAUCCCUGGAUCCACCGUAGGAACCAUGCUGGGAUAAGAAAAAUCUACCAGGAGGGUGCCAGAGACACACGUCCUUUAUGCUGAGCCCUUGGGCAGAGAAAAUCACUGCCACUUUCUGAGCAGGAAGAAAUCAACUCCAGCUAGUAUCCCCAGCGAUGGGAAAACAGCCAGCCUGGGAGGCGAGAGUGAAAUACACGGAGCACAGCCAGGGCAGGACGGGGCUAGGGGCCUACAAGAUUCAGUUUCCUCUCUUCCAGCUCAGCUAAGGGUUCCAGAUAUCCCAACAGAUGCCAAAUAAAUACUGGGACUUUGUUAUUCUCUGCAACAAAAUCAUUUACACCAAGUCAGGCCUGGAAGGGUCACCAAGCAGACUUCACAGCAGACCAUGACAUCCACAAGAAAACAGGAACAAGGACGCUAGAGGAGAGAAAGGAUUCAGUUUUCAGCCAUCUGAAGGCAGCUGGGGAAGCUUGGCCCACACACCACUGUGAGAAGGGUAAAGAUCACAUGUGUUACGUAACUCCAGCCCCUUCUCCCCACUGGUGGCCUGCCGAAGUGGAGCUGCACAGCUGUGUUAGAGCAACCAGGCUGAACACAGGGAUGCCUGGAUUCUCAGACACUCUAGAUGCCCAUGGGAAAAGGGAGCACUCAGCGGAGUCACUCGACAAGAGGCACACCUUCUCCCAGCUCUUUAACGCCUCAGGGUGGAAAAUGAAAGAUGCUUGAGGUCACUGCCCCUCCUGUUCUGUACACAAGCCCAAGCUUGGGAGGAAAUUAUUUGAGAUAUUCAGAAGAAGCAGGGAGAGCAGGGCAGCUCUGAAGUCACUGGGAGGCUGUGAGAGGUCAGCCAGCACUUCAAAGGACCCCAGGACCUUUGCAUAACCCUGGACUGAGUGGGAAGGGAAAGUCCCAGUCAUGACAGAAACUGAAUUUCCCACCAACUCAGUAGGAGGUUUGGGAUUCAGGGUCGGUUUCAUGGCAGUGCAGACAAAAUAAAGAAAAUGUGAUAUUUAUUGCUUACUUAAAUUUGUGGACCAAACUGCCUACCAUGCUAUCCACACUGUUUCCUGCAAGCAGUCAAUAUGGGCUUAAGGGAAAUGUAACUCAUCUUAAUAUUUGUUUAAAUCAAAUGGAAUAUAGAAAGUAAAUAAAUCUGCUGCCAAACCAUCAACUAGGGCAUUCUAAACCCAAAAUAAAGAGCCUAUGGACUGUCUG